GAACUCCACAAGCCACGUCACCAGGAAAAAAGACAGAAGUCCUCCUGACUCUCCAAUUCAAAUUGGACCUGGGGUUUGAGGACCCUUCUCAGGACCCUACCAGUGUUCAUUCCCUCCAGUUCCCCUCUCUCUCCCACAUAUCCCAAAGUGUUGUCUACUCUCAAAAGAGCACAGAGGUCAGGGUUCUCCCAAGCACACCCACUUGGACAGAGCAGCUCCUCAGGCCUCCAUGAUGUCCAUCUCUGCCUCCCAGCCCCAUCCACCUCCUCCUUGCCUGCUGCUGAUUCUACUGCUGGGACUCACAGAUGGGGAAACUGAGGCAGAGAGAGUAACUUGCUCAAUGUCACCUACC
rnacentral:lncRNA from 1 species